rnacentral:lncRNA from 1 species
UCAUUUUAUGUUAUUAUAAGUAAGAAAUUAGCAUUCAAUAUAUGCCACAAUAUAUCUUUGUUGAAGUGUAAGUUUGUUCCACUUUUCUAUUUUUCAUUUUCCAACUUUUAUUUUAGGUUCGGGGGUACAUAUGAAAGUUUGUUACAAGGAUAAAUUGUAUGGGGCUGGGAUAACUGCUAGCCAUAUGCAGAAGAUUGACACUGGAUCCCUUCCUUUUGCCAUAUAUGAAAAUCAACUCAACAUGCGUUAAAAAGUUAAAUGUAAAAUCUAAAACUAUAAAAACCCUAGAUAAUAUCACUAUUGAUGUUAACCUUGAUGUCCUGGCUUGAAAUAGCAUUUGUCAGUUUUUGCCACACUGUAAAGUUGCUCCUUUUUUCUCCAUUGCCAUACUAUACUCUUUGGAACAAAGUCACUAUGCACAGCCCACUAUUAAGGACAAAGUCUUCUAUUCUAGGCCUUCUGUCUUUCCAUAUGAACUUUAGAAUCCAUGUGUUAGCUUGGAUUCUAAAAUAGCUUGCUGGGAUGUUGAUUGAGAUUGCAUUGUAUCUAUAGGUCAAGUUGGAAAGAACUGACAUCUUAACAAUAUUUAAUCUUCUAGUCUAUGAAUCAGAAUAUCUCUCCAUUUAUUUAAAUCUUAGACUUUCUUCAUCUGUGUUUUCUAAUUCAUGCUUAUAAAUCCUAUACAUAUGUUGUUAUGUUUAUACCUGCGUAUGUAAUUU